GCCCCUACGGGGCGCAGCAGUAGGGAAUCUUCCACAAUGGACGAAAGUCUGAUGGAGCAACGCCGCGUGAGUGAAGAAGGGUUUCGGCUCGUAAAGCUCUGUUGGUAGUGGAGAAAGAUAGAGGUAGUAACUGGCCUUUAUUUGACGGUAAUUACUUAGAAAGUCACGGCUAACUACGUGCCAGGAGCCGCGGUAAUACGUAGGUGGCAAGCGUUGUUCGGAUUUAUUGGGCGUAAAGCGAGUGGAGGGGGUUUAAUAAAUUU
rnacentral:rRNA from 1 species